rnacentral:rRNA from 1 species
GACGAACGCUGGCGGCGUGCCUAAUACAUGCAAGUUGAGCGCUGAAGGCUGGUACUUGUACCAACUGGAUGAGCAGCGAACGGGUGAGUAACGCGUGGGGAAUCUGCCUUUGAGCGGGGGACAACAUUUGGAAACGAAUGCUAAUACCGCAUAAAAACUUUAAACACAAGUUUUAAGUUUGAAAGAUGCAAUUGCAUCACUCAAAGAUGAUCCCGCGUUGUAUUAGCUAGUUGGUGAGGUAAAGGCGCACCAAGGCGAUGAUACAUAGCCGACCUGAUAGGGUGGUCGGCCAGAUUGGGACUGAGACACGGCCCAAAGGGCUACGGGAGGCAGCAGUAGGGAAUCGUCGGCAAUGGACGAAAGUCUGACCGAGCAACGCCGCGUGAGUGAAGAAGGUUGUCGGAUCGUAAAACUCUGUUGGUAGAGAAGAACGUUGGUGAGAGUGGGAAGCUCAUCAAGUGACGGUAACUACCCAGAAAGGAACGGCUAACUACGUG